CCCAGGCGAGCAUCUGACAGCCUGGAGCAGCACACACAACCCCAGGCGAGCAUCUGACAGCCUGGAGCAGCGCCCACACCCCCAAGUGAGCAGGUGACAGCCUGGAGCAGUGCCCACACCCCCGGGCGAGCAUCUGACAGCCUGGAGCAGCACCCACACCCCCAGGUGAGCAUCCGACAGCCUGGAGCAGCACCCACACCCCCAGGUGAGCAUCUGACCGCAUGGAAUGGCAUCCUCACCUCCAGGUGAGCAUCCGACAGCCUGGAACAUAAUUCUCCAACCCCAGGUGAGCAUCUGACAGCCUGGAACAGCAUCCACACCCCCAGGUGAGCAUCUGACCGCAUGGAAUGGCAUCCUCACCUCCAGGUGAGCAUCCGACAGCCUGGAACAGAAUUCUCCAACCACAGGUGAGGAUCUGACAGCCUGGAACAGAACCCCACUCUUCCAGGUGAGAAUCUGACGCAUAAAACAGCACCCUGCAACCCCAGGUGAGCAUCUGACAGUCUGGAACAGCAUCCACACCCCCAGGCGAGCAUCUGACUGUAUGGAAUGACAUCCUCACAUCCAGGUGAGAAUAUGACAGAAUAAAGCAGCACCCUGCACCCCCAGUUGAGCAUCUGACAGCCUGGAACAGCACCCACACUCCCAGGUGAGCAUCUGACAGCCUGGAGCAGUACCCACACCCCCAGGUGUGCAUCUGACAGCCUGAAACAGCACCCUCCACCACCAGAUGAGCAUCUGACAACCAGAACCUGCACCACACACCCCAAGGUGGGCAUCCGAUGGCAUGGGACAGCACCCCCACUCACAGGUGAUGUGACUGCGUGGAACAGCACAUCCCCUCAGGUGAGCAUCUGACAGGAUAAAACAGCACCCCACAACCCCAGGUGAUCAUUUGCCAGCCAGGAACGGCAACCCACAUCCCCAGGUAAGUGUCUGACAGCCUAGAGCGGCACCUGCACACUUAGGUAAGAAUCUGAAAGCCUGGAUCAACACUCGAAUCUUCAGGUGAGCAUCUGACAGCCUGGAGCAGCAGUGCCCACCCCUGGGUGAGGAUGCUCACCUGAGGUUGGGAGUGCCAGUCCAGGCUGCCAGAUCCUCACCUGGGGAUGGAAGGUGCCAUUGUAGGUUUUUGGAUGUUCACAUGGGGGUUAAGGGUGGUGUUCCGGGUUAUCAGAUGCUCACCUGGGGACGCGUGGAAAACCAUGCCCACCACAAGGUGAGCAUAUGACAGCCCGGAACAACACCCUCCACCCCCAGGUGAGCAUCUGACAGCCUGGAACAGAACCCCACAACUUCAAAUAAGAAUUUGAUAAGUGGGAAAAAGCUCCCCGCCCUCAGGUGAGUGUCUGACAGCCUGGAACAGCACCCCACAACUGCAGGUGAGCAUCUGAUAGCCUGGAUAGGCACUCCACACAGCCAGGUGAGCAGCUGAAAGCCUGGAAUGGUAACCCACAUGCAGGUGAGCAUCCGACAGCCUGGAACAGCAGCUCACAUCCCCAGGUAAGAUUCCAACAGCAUGGAACAAGACCACUGCCCCCAGGUGAGCAUCUGGCAGCCUGGUAAAACAACCCCCUUCAGGUGAGCAUCCGACAGCCUGGAACAGCAGCUCACAUCCCCAGGUAAGAUUCCAACAGCAUGGAACAAGACCACUGCCCCCAGGUGAGCAUCUGGCAGCCUGGAAAAACAACCCCCUUCAGGUGAGCAUCUGACAGCCUGGAACAGCACCCUCCACCUUCAGGUGAGAAUAUGACAGCCUGAAACAGCACCCCACACCCCAGGCAAAAAUCUGACAGCAUGGAACAAGACCACUGCCCCCAGGUGAGCAUUUGACAGCCCGGGAAAGUACCCUCCAUGCACAGGUGAGCAUCUGACAGCCUGGAAACCCCCCCACUGCUUCCAGGUGAACAUCUGAUAGCCUGGAACAGAACCCCAGUUCUCCAAGUAAGGAUCUGAAAGCACGGAACAGCACUCUCACCCCCAGGGGAGCAUCUGACAACCUAGAACAGCACCCUCACCCCGAGGUGGGCAUCUGGCAGCAUAAAACAGCACCCCUACUGGCAGAUGAGCAUAUGACAGCGUGGAACAGCACCCACGCACCCAGGUGAGCAUCUGACAGCCUGGAACAGCACCCCACACCCCCAGGUGAGCAUCUGACAGCCUGGAACAGCACCCACACCCCCAGGUGAGCAUCUGACAGCCUGGAGCAGCACCCUACACCCCCAGGGGAGCAUCUGACAGUCUGGAGCAGCACCCACACCCCCAGGUGAGCAUCUGACAUCCUGGAACAGCACCCCACGCCCCCAGGUGAGCACCUGACAGCCUGGAACAGCACCCCACACCCCCAGGUGAGCAUCUGACAGCCUGGAACAGCACCCACACCCCCAGGUGAGCAUCUGACAGCCUGGAGCAGCACCCCACACCUCCAGGGGAGCAUCUGACAUCCUGGAACAGCACCCCACACCCCCAGUGAGCAUCUGACAACCUGGAGCAGCACCCCACACCUCCAGGGGAGCAUCUGACAUCCUGGAACAGCACCCCACACCUCCAGGGGGAGCAUCUGACAGCCUGGAGCAACACCCCACACCUCCAGGGGAGCAUCUGACAGCCUGGAACAGCACUCCACACCUCCAGGGGAGCAUCUGACAGCAUGGACAAGUCCUGCCCCCCGAACUCCAGCCCUUAAGAAAAUCAGAAGCCCUGGCAGGCACAUUGCCUCUGUGCUGUGCUUUUACCCAGCGAAGCAUCAGGGCAGACAGCCAAUUUCAACACUGCUCUUGGCUGGGAAGUGCCCUCAUCUCUGGCAGCCCCCACAGAGAAAGUGCAGGGCCCCGGGGCUGUGGCUGCCUCAGGGCAGGUCUCCCUUGUGACAGCCUCUUGUCAUGGGCCUGGGAGUGGACCCCUCCCAUCCCUGCCGUGCAUCCUGUUGAGUAGACAGCUCAGGCUAGUACCCAAGAGGGUGGCCAGCAGAUCACAGGGGAUGUCCCUUUUGUCUUAGCUGUUUAUGGGCUGGAGGAACCACUGUUCAGCCACAUCUCCUCUCCUGCCCCUCCUGCAUUCACCCGAGGUUGAUGGGAGCUCUGUGGGGGGAGACAGGCAGGGGAGGGGCCAGGCAACACCUGGGCAUAUCCCCAGGGUGCCUCCUCUGAUCCCCAGGAGGGGCAGCACCCACCCUCUUCUUUUUCCAAUUUGUUUUUAUUGUGGUUAAAUAUACAUAACGUAAAAUUUA
rnacentral:lncRNA from 1 species